UGCUUUUCAUAUUGACACCUGUGAGUUAAAACACCUCAUCCAAAUUUUGUAAUAAUAUUUAAAUGUGAUAUUUAUCCUAAGCUUAGUGACCAAGUAAACCCACUAUAAGAACGAGACAUGGCCUUCCCAAUAUCUUGUCAUCUCUUUUUCUAUCAUCCAUAUUCUCCUAGCAGCUUUUGAUAAUUUUCCGGUAUACACACGAAGGAUUCCAUGAUCAUAUAAGCGUAAAUUAUUAUCUCAAUUUUGUGAUCAUCGCUUAAGGUGAUCAAGAUUUCUGGGACAGGAUAAGGAAGAGUGUUCGAGUGUUUGGAAAAGACCGUAGAAAUAAAUGUACUGGAUUAGAUAUCCUAUUUCCAUCAAGUUGUAAAGCCUUAAGUAUUAAUGGAAUUAUGUUUUUGAUCUGAC